UCCAGAUAAUUCUAGUGCCCAAUCCUUCAAGUCUUGUCGGGCUGCUCAAGCCUUCCCAUCUGGGGCCCCAGACAUGAGGAAGCCCUCCCUACUCUGCCCUGAGUGCCUGAUCCUCAGAACCUGUGAGCGUAAUAAAAUGGGCCUGUUCCGUGUCCCUAAAUGAGGGGGGUCUGGUGCACAGCAGUAAAGAACCAGAAUGCCCCUCAUUCACAAAGACUCUGGCAACACUGCAGUUUCCAUCUCCUUCCAGAUCGGCUAUCCCCUGGGAGACUUCAGUGUCACACAAAUGACCUCUCACUGCCAACACUCUGACCUCCCAGUCCUUGACCUCCUCACCCACAGCAAUGUCCUCACCUAAGUCACCUGGGCUAACUCUUCCAGUGAACAAACGGCAGGGUCUGGGAGUUUUAAGGGACACCGCGAGGGCUGUUAUAAGGUAAAUGGAGGCUUCCUCUUGUAGCCCCUCCAAAGGUCCUGUGCCUCCCCCUAGCGUUGUCAUCAUGCAGGAUAUUGGGAAGAGCAGCAGGUCACAAAGUCACCGUGUCAAGCCUCCUGUCAAUCAUAACAGGGAAUUCAUAACAGAGUUGGGGUGGGAGGUGGGGAAUUGGCAUCAUUCGCUCCGGCUUCUGAGCCGGUGCCUCCGGCUUUUCACCAGCACUUGAUUCCGUCUCAGACCAAAUAUGCGGAUGUCCUUCGUCACCUACUCCAUGGACUGUGACACCGUCUUGCUGCUCACCUCAGACAAGCAAUUCGGCAGAUGGAAAAUUUCAACUCCACAUACAACAAGGUUUCCAGCAUGAUUAUUGCUAUGACCGAUGGAACAAUGAUGAAACAUCCAUUUUUGGACACUCUCAAAGAAAUCCUACCAUGUGGUUAUUCAUGGAAAUGGCUUUCAGACUCUAAAGAAACAAGACGAAGUUAUUUGCAGAUUUAUCUUCAAACGAAAGCACUAUCAUUGGUAAGUUGUCUCCUCGGUGCCUCUGAGUCACGUAUUUCCCAUACAAUACUGCCUUUCCCCACAGCCAGCCAAGCCUCCCAGCCCUUGCCAGCUGUUCCCUGUGGACCCUGUGGGGUUAGAGGCCAUGAGGACAAGUGGAAGGAGGUACUGGGAAGCCCGGCCACCCCUCCCUUCAUCUGCCAAGCGGGGAAGUAACAAAUCCCAAGAGAGCAUCUCAGAUCAGGGCUUCCCCCUCAGUGAGGCUGGGUUUAGGACUGGUUCUGCCAUCACAGCUGCAUCUGCCCACCUUAGCCUCAGUUUCCCCUUCCCUUGAGAGCCCAGGACCCGAAGCCCACAAGGCUACUCCUGGGAAAUGGUGGCAGCCCUGGA
rnacentral:lncRNA from 1 species